ACUCUGGAAACCAGGGCUUCGUGUUGUGGCUAAAGUUCCAGUAUUUUAUGGGACAUAAUGGUACUGUGAAUGUAAACAAAAGGCCUUGAUGGGCUAGGCUCAGGAACUUCGGGGCUCACAUGCAAAAGCUAAGCUCUAAUGGGGAAGCAAGAUGAGACAGUGGCCUCAAAAAGCUCCUAGAUUACUUUCGAGGCGGUUGUAUUCUUCAUUUCCACAAGAGGGCAGCAGCUCCUGAACAGCCGGGCACUGGCUAAACAUUGAGCUCCCGAAAUGGAGACACUUUUUAGCUGCAGCAGAAGGGCGGUCAAGGUUCACUGAAUCAAAUGGUGUUGUUUUGGAGCUACACGUUAGCCUGGGGGCUAUAAGGGAACCUGAUGUGAUAAUAAACCAAAAGAAACCAAAAUGGGUACAGAGAGGCCUGGAUGUAGAAUCAGGAGAUCUGAGUUAGAAGGAUCAUAGAGAUUAUCUGGUCCAACUCUCCUGAUAACUAAAGGCCCUUUUAAGCCUCUGAAAUGGUGAGGUCCAGCCUCUGGUGAAUCUGGAACUGUCUCGGGAGGGAGUCCACUCCAGGGGUGGACCUCUCUGAUGGUAGAAGUGUUCUUUCUAAAUCAAGGUAAAACUUGUCUCCCUGUAACAUCACAUAGUGGCAUCCUUGGCCUUUCCCCCAGGGCUCUUCCAUGUGUUAACCCACCACCACUUUGAAGAUAGUUGCCACUCCUAAAUCUUCUUCAGUCUAAAUAUUUCUAGUUCCCUCAACUAUCCCUCACUUGAUGGGAUCAUUCACCCCUUCAGUAACUGAAUAGGAUUAGGACCCAGAUCUAACCUUCUAGAACAGGGAUCUUUGUACUUCAGUUCUUGGCUUUAUGCUGUCCAUAGAAGAAGGUCUCCAAAACAUAGAGGCUUAGCCCGUGGAAAUCAAGUUCUCUCCCAAGCAGGAAGCUGGAACUGAAGUCAUGGAAACAUUGUCUGUGGUGUUCAGGACCAACUCUCAUUGAGGCCAGGACUGUGAUUCAAGCUUAGGUUACUGGAAAUGUCAGUAUGCUCAGAGCUAAGACAUUCUGUGCUCUGCGUCUGUUGUACUUUUCCCCGGGAUCUGCCACUCAGCAGCAAUCAGGUGUAAUCCAAGCACUAUGGAAGUUUCAUUAACGGUUUACUUAAUAAAUACAAUACUCAUUGUGCAGAUAAGACUCAAGUACAGAUAAGAACAAAGAAAUAAGAAUCCCAUAAUCCUACCACUCAGUGGAAACUAUUAACAUUUUGUUAUAUAGAAUCCCUUAACAAUCAUGGCUUUGCCAACUGUGGCUUUGCCCACCCAUCUUUUUAAGCCAAAGCCCGUGGUAAUUAUGGCUUCUUUCUCCCACAGACCGUGUAUACGAGAUUGCGAGACUCAUAUCAAGAAGAGGUCUGGGAGCACAGGACAUUUUUCUCCAGCCUGCCUGGUCAGCUCUGUUCCCUGGUCUUCCUCUUACAUUGAAAGCUAAGAACUUAGAUAUAGGAAAUGAUGUCACCACAAAUUCAGCAUAAUGCCCUUACGGUCUGUCCGCAUUGUUGCAAAAAAGAGCCUGGAAUUUAAUUCUGAAGAUGGCUGGCUGACAACUAUAGCAUCCCCAGGACUAAUUGGGGCAUAGAUUUCUAGAAAGGGUCAGGUAUGUCCUUCUCAAGCUGUCCUCUCUUCUCUUGCUCUCUCCUCCCCUCCUGUCUCCCUCCCCCCAAUCUACACACUCGUGUUCUCAAGCUGACGGUUGUCACCCACGCUGCAGCCUUGGGAUUGCCCCUUCAGCCAGGGUUUCUUGUACUAGUGGGAGGGCAUGAGGUGAGGAAAGUUCAUAUCAGGCAGGCUACCGAAACUUCUACUCUAGAGAACUUUCGAGGGCACAGAAAGCACUGACUCUUUUCUGAGGCCUGUUCUGGGGCUGGCCUGGCCCCAAGUGGGGAGAAGAGGCUCCCCAGCAGCAAACCCAUCAAGAACCAUGACUUGAAUUCCUCUUCAGUUUGAGGUCCAAGUCGGUCACUCAGAGAGCUAGUUGGGGAAAUAGCCUAGCUAAAUAGCAGAGGUGUCUGUGUGUGUGAGGCAGUGGCCGGUGCUUUUAACACUGUUACAGAAAUAAAAGCAAACUGGAAAAAAAAAAAAAAAAAAAAAGCCUUCUUGAUUCUUGCUGCAUUUCCAGUAUUCACCACAAGGUGGCAGGGGGCUACAGGAAAAGAGGGAGCUCUUAGGCGCAGGGUGUGCUCUUCAGCCCAUCUGUCCCUGAUGGCGAUGAGGGGCCCUCCUUGGCAUUCAUGUCCCCCUCCCUUAGUGGGAAUCAUCCCAGGCACCUCCUUUCCCCUCCCUGCCCUCCUUCCACCCCUGGGUCUCACCAUAGUCCCAAUGGUUCUACACACAGAGCUCCCUUCUGUGUUCUUUCAGGGAUGCAUCCCUUCCCCUGGGACUGGAUAGCAAUGGCUGGAAUUGAUGUGCUUACUAUGUGCCAGGCAGAGAUCUAAACAUUUACAUGAAUCAUUUGAUUUAAUUAUCA